GAGCUUACUUUGGUAGUACAUAUACUAAAAAAACUGAAACAAUACAAAGACAAUAGCAUGGUCCCUAUGCAAGGAUGACACCCAAAUCUGUGAAGCAUUUUAUAUAUCA
ensembl:snRNA Gm55682 U6 spliceosomal RNA